rnacentral:rRNA from 1 species
AGGCUCGUGUCGUGAGAUGUUGGGUUAAGUCCCGCAACGAGCGCAACCCUUGUCAUUAGUUGCUACGAAAGGGCACUCUAAUGAGACUGCCGGUGACAAACCGGAGGAAGUGGGGAUGACGUCAAGUCCCCAUGGCCCUUAUGGGUAGGGCUUCACACGUCAUACAAUGGUCGGGACAGAGGGUCGCCAACCCGCGAGGGGGAGCCAAUCCCAGAAACCCGAUCGUAGUCCGGAUUGUAGUCUGCAACUCGACUACAUGAAGUCGGAAUCGCUAGUAAUCGCGGAUCAGCAUGUCGCGGUGAAUACGUUCCCGGGUCUU